rnacentral:miRNA from 1 species
ACCCUGUAGGUCCGAAUUUGUG